AUUAUUGUAUUUGCUUACUUAAUUUAAAAGACUCAUUGUCUCUGGUAAUGUAAACAUGUUGUUUUCCACCAAGAGUUAAUCGUUGCCUCUGGCCAGCCAUGUAAACACUUCUCAUCAGCAACUUUUAAUUACAGUUCAUGAAUUUUUUGCCUCCGUUUGUAGUUUUCCAGGCCUCAUUUCUUAGGAUGACAUCUUAGAUUCUUUAGGCCCCAACUAUACACCUUUCAAGCAAUUUCAUUCAAACAACACAUGAUAUUUGAUCACAGAUGGAGUCCUUUCUGGAAACGGUGGCCAUGAUUUCUAACACACUUUAUGGCACUAUUGCAAGUAAAGCCAGCGGGUGUUUUUUCUCCCAUAGGUAAAGUGGUGAAGCCUGUGUGUGUCGAUACAUAUGAUAAGAGCAAGCACCCCAUAGGCGAUUCGUGGAACACAGCUGAAUGUAUGGAAUGCCAAUGCCACAAAGAUGGGAUGACCUGCUGCACCAGAUACGGCGGUGUUGCCCAUGUUAAAGGAUGCAUAGCAAAGGUCGAUCCAAAAACGUGCAAGUAUAAGUUCUAUAAGGAGAAGGAUCCAUCAAAACCAUGUUUUUGAAGUCCUUGCGUCAACAGACGGCAAAUGAAUAAACAAGCCUCUGCAUCUAAAA